UUCUGGCUCAGGAUGAACGCUGGCGGCGUGCCUAACACAUGCAAGUCGAACGAAGCGAUUUGCCGGAGAUCGUUGAAGGGAGAUACGACUAGUGGCGGACGGGUGAGUAAUGCGUGAGCAACCUGCCUUUCAGAGGGGGACAACAGUUGGAAACGACUGCUAAUACCGCAUAAUGUACAUUAGAGGCAUCUUUGAUGUACCAAAGGAGCAAUCCGCUGAAAGAUGGGCUCACGUCUGAUUAGCUUGUUGGCGGGGCAACGGCCCACCAAGGCGACGAUCAGUAGCCGGACUGAGAGGUUGAACGGCCACAUUGGGACUGAGAUACGGCCCAGACUCCUACGGGAGGCAGCAGUGGGGAAUAUUGGGCAAUGGGCGAAAGCCUGACCCAAGCAACGCCGCGUGAAGGAAGAAGGUCUUCGGAUUGUAAACUUCUUUUAUGAGGGACGAAGGACGUGACGGUACCUCAUGAAUAAGCCACGGCUAACUACGUGCCAGCAGCAGC
rnacentral:rRNA from 1 species